UGGGGAAUAUUGGACAAUGGGCGAAAGCCUGAUCCAGCAAUACCGCGUGUGUGAAGAAGGCCCUAGGGUUGUAAAGCACUUUCAAUUGGGAGGAAAACCUACCGGUCAAUACCCGGUAGCUUGACAUUACCUUUAGAAGAAGCACCGGCUAACUCCGUGCCAGCAGCCGCGGUAAUACGGAGGGUGCAAGCGUUAAUCGGAAUUACUGGGCGUAAAGCGUGCGUAGGCGGUUCGUUAAGUCAGAUGUGAAAGCCCCGGGCUCAACCUGGGAACUGCAUUUGAAACUGGCGAACUAGAGUUUAGUAGAGGGGAGUGGAAUUUCAGGUGUAGCGGUGAAAUGCGUAGAUAUCUGAAGGAACACCAGUGGCGAAGGCGACUCCCUGGACUAAAACUGACGCUGAGGUACGAAAGCGUGGGUAGCAAACAGGAUUAGAUACCCUGGUAGUCCACGCCGUAAACGAUGUCAACUAGCCGUUGGUCCUCUAUGUAGGAUUAGUGGCGCAGCUAACGCAUUAAGUUGACCGCCUGGGGAGUACGGCCGCAAGGUUA
rnacentral:rRNA from 1 species